UACGGAGGGUGCAAGCGUUGCUCGGAAUUACUGGGCGUAAAGGGCGUGUAGGCGGUUUCGUAAGUCUGGCGUGAAAGCCCCGGGCUCACCUCGGGAAGUGCGUCGGAAACUGCGAGACUAGAGUCCCGGAGAGGGAGGUGGAAUUCCAGGUGUAGCGGUGAAAUGCGUAGAUAUCUGGAGGAACACCGGUGGCGAAGGCGGCAUCCUGGACGAUGACUGACGCUGAGACGCGAAAGCGUGGGGAGCAAACAGG
rnacentral:rRNA from 1 species